rnacentral:rRNA from 2 species
UUCGCAAUGCCCGAAAGGGUGACGAAGCGACGCCGCGUGUGGGAAGAAGGCCUUCGGGUUGUAAACCACUGUCGGGAGUUAAGAAAUGUAAGGAUGUUAAUAGCGUCCUUACUUGACUAAGGCUCCGGAGGAAGCCACGGCUAACUCUGUGCCAGCAGCCGCGGUAAUACAGAGGCGGCAAGCGUUGUUCGGAAUUAUUGGGCGUAAAGAGCACGUAGGCGGCCUUGAAAGUCAGUUGUGAAAGCCUUCUGCUUAACGGAAGAACAGCAUUUGAUACUACAGGGCUUGAGUGCGGGAGGGGAGAGUGGAACUUCUGGUGGAGCGGUGAAAUGCGUAGAUAUCAGAAGGAACGCCGGCGGCGAAAGCGGCUCUCUGGCCCGUAACUGACGCUGAGUGUGCGAAAGCUAGGGGAUCAAACGGGAUUAGAUACCCCGGUAGUCCUAGCCGUAAACGAUGGGCACUAAGUAGAGGGGUUUU